rnacentral:rRNA from 1 species
AUUGAACGCUGGCGGCAGGCUUAACACAUGCAAGUCGAGCGAGCGGCGGACGGGUGAGUAAUGUCUGGGAAACUGCCUGAUGGAGGGGGAUAACUACUGGAAACGGUAGCUAAUACCGCAUACCAUCAGAUGUGCCCAGAUGUGAUUAGCUUGUAGGUGGGGUAAAGGCUCACCUAGGCGACGAUCCCUAGCUGUGCUGAGAGGAUGACCAGCCACACUGGAACUGAGACACGGGCCAGACUCCUACGGGAGGCAGCAGUGGGGAAUAUGGCACAAUGGGCGCAAGCCGGAUGCAGCCAUGCCGCGUGUAUGAAGAAGGCCUUCGGGUUGUAAAGCACUUUCAGCGAGGAGGCGGUACUCGCAGAAGAAGCACCGGCUAACUCCGUGCCAGCAGCCGCGGUAAUUC